rnacentral:rRNA from 1 species
GAGGAAUAUUGGUCAAUGGGCGAGAGCCUGAACCAGCCAAGUAGCGUGCAGGAAGACGGCCCUAUGGGUUGUAAACUGCUUUUAUGUGGGGAUAAAGUGAGCUACGUGUAGUUUAUUGCAGGUACCACAUGAAUAAGGACCGGCUAAUUCCGUGCCAGCAGCCGCGGUAAUACGGAAGGCCCAGGCGUUAUCCGGAUUUAUUGGGUUUAAAGGGAGCGUAGGCCGUGGAUUAAGCGUGUUGUGAAAUGUAGACGCUCAACGUCUGAAUUGCAGCGCGAACUGGUUCACUUGAGUAUGCACAACGUAGGCGGAAUUCGUCGUGUAGCGGUGAAAUGCUUAGAUAUGACGAAGAACUCCGAUUGCGAAGGCAGCUUACGGGAGCACAACUGACGCUGAAGCUCGAAGGUGCGGGUAUCAAACAGGAUUAGAUACCCUGGUAGUCCGCACAGUAAACGAUGGAUGCCCGUUGUUAGUUCACUUAAGAAUUAGCGACCAAGCGAAAGCAUUAAGCAUCCCACCUGGGGAGUACGCCGGCAACGGUG